CCAUACCAUACCAUACCGUAGCCACCACGGUACCGCUGGUACGCUCACCAGCUCACAGAGCAUCCGUUGAGGAGGCCGUGGUUCGGCGGGAUUCAGCUACGUGAUUUCUAUACCGCCACAAGCACGCUACCUGCCUCCACGCUGGAUGUACUACGCAUAGAAAGCGUUCGAGCAUGCAAGCCACGGCUCCGGCCAGUACAGCGACAAAGAAGACAGGAAGCCAGGAUCGCGAGACCACCAGCAAGCCAUCAGAGGUGUCGUGCAAAGGGAGCCCUUGGACUCCACUUGGACAAGCCAGCAAAGGUGGAAGGGCCCCAGUCAUUACACCUAAGUUUGACAUCCGGCAAGUGCAGCAUCCCGUGCAUAAUAAAGGGAUACGCUUAGCAACCGGUGCCUAUAUAAGGACCUAACCUAUUCCCAGUUUGCAU